AACAAACGCUGGCGGCGUGCCUAAUACAUGCAAGUCGAACGGGGAAAGCUUUCGGGUGAGUACUAGUGGCGCACGGGUGAGUAACGCGUGAUAAUCUGCCUUAGAGUGGGGGAUAACUAGUCGAAAGAUUAGCUAAUACCGCAUAAGACCACAAGAACUGCGGUUCAAGGGGUCAAAGGUUUUUCGCUCUAAGAUGAGUCCGCGUAAGAUUAGCUAGUUGGUGAGGUAAUGGCUCACCAAGGCGACGAUCUUUAACUGGUCUGAGAGGAUGAUCAGUCACACUGGAACUGAGACACGGUCCAGACUCCUACGGGAGGCAGCAGUAGGGAGUAUUGCACAAUGGAGGAAACUCUGAUGCAGCGACGCCGCGUGAGUGAUGAAGGCCUUCGGGUCGUAAAGCUCUGUCGCAAGGGAAUAACACAAUGAAUGUACCUUGCAAGAAAGGAUCGGCUAACUUCGUGCCAGCCGCCGCGGUAAUAC
rnacentral:rRNA from 1 species